CAGUCCUGUAGUCUAAAAAAUUAGAUUGGUUUUCUUGUUGCGUCGCGAUUUUAUUUGUAAUCGAGGUAAUAUUACAUCCGUGAAGUAAUUGUUUAAAUUUUACUACAAGUAAGUUGUUCUUUAUGUUAGUCAACGAAUUAUAGAGAUCUUCGUUGCGAAGGGAAACGCAACGAUGGCACUGCGAGCUCAUUUCUCCGUUUCGUAAAGUCCUCACCUCACCAAUCAUAAUAUAAUACAACACAGUCAAGAUGAUGAUGUCGUCGGGGCAGGAGUUGUUUUCUUUGUACGACAGCUCACCUGAUACGCUGUUCGACAUUAGUAUGAAUUACAUUGUUAAUAAUCUAAAUAUAAUUACGACAUUGGAUCCGAACACUCGAUGGCGUAAGUUGAAAGACGAUGUGAUUCUACCUUCAGAGAUAUGUGAAAAGUUUUUGGAGGCAUACCAGAAGAGCAACAGAGUAAGUGAUAGCAUAGCGAACAUAUUCCGUGACCGAACACGCACCAGGUUGUCUGUGGUGAGACUUCGCAACUCGCGCAUCACUGACGAGGGGUUUCGCUGCCUCAUGGAGCACAAGCCCUUCGAGCUCGAAGUGGUCCAGUGCGAGUACCUUAGCCCCAGCUCCUUGGACAUCAUAAACAGCAACAGCCAAAACCUAGUCUCUCUAAAAGUGGGCCCUCUGACAUAUGUUCUCUCACAAGACGAAACUCUCUUCCGACAGCGAGGAUAUAUAAUUGAUGCGCCUAAUUUGAGACGGCUCACCCGCCGAGGACUUGCAGUGUUUCCACUACUGCUUUUGAAAUCACUCACUAAUCUAACACACUUAGACUUGUCUAAGACCACUUCGUCGAGCACCAUUUGGGUUUUAAAAGAUUUGAAAAACCUGAGAUCUUUGAUUUUGCACAGUGUGCACUGGACAAAGGAUGUUAUUGAUUGGAUAGCCACCCUGCAUACUUUGAGACAUUUGGAUAUCUCGCAGUCCAAUGAUAGGCUUGGGAAAUAUUUCAAACCAAAUGAUGUUUUGGCUAAACUUAUAAAUAAUCUUACGCUUUUGGAAUCGUUGGAUAUAUCAGGGACUAAUCUUGCGGGCUCUGGGGCGGCAGCAGUGUCCAACAGUGAAGGUACUUCAGAUAUUGACCAAGUGAGAUGUGAUAUACCUGGCUUAGCUGCCCGUGUCAACAGGCCCCUGGAGUUUCUGGGCCUGUAUGGGACACACCAUGGAGCUUGCAAAAGGCAUGACAUUCCUGCCAAAGUGAUAACGGGUGAUGCUAAUGUGGAACAAAUCUUGACUGCUGCAGCAGCAUACAUGGAAAGGCCAGCUAUUCUUACACGCGUCCUCAAUGACCUUUAUUAUUUGUUCCGCUAUGAGAACAAUGCUUACAUAGGCCGAGCGCUAGCAGUGGUCCUAGAUGCAAUGGAUCAACAUGUUUCAGAAAAGCAUAUACAGAUAUCUGGCAGUGCAACACUUUUCUACAUAGUCAAAGGCAAAGAAAAAGGGCGUAUAGGUAUUAGGCUAAAAAAGCGAAUAAUCACUGCUCUCUUAGAUGGAAUGGAGGCUCACCUUGGUGAUGACACAAUGAUGAGGAAUGGGUGCCUUACAUUGUGCCAGUUCAAAAUACCAACAGAUGUUCUGUUUGAAUACGAGCGGGUAGUGCAAAUCCUGCUGAAUGGAGUGGCCGACGUGAACCAGGAGGGUUUCGUGCAGCGCAUAGCGAUAUACCUCCUGAACUCGCUCGCUUGCCAGGUUGACGGCACCCAGAAGCAAUUCCUGGGCAACCAAGGCGCGAUAGGGAAAAUGUUGAACCUGAUCGCCGACCGGCUGGAGCGGCGGCUGUGCGACGACGUGCUGGAGGUGGCGUGGUCCACCAUGUGGAACGUCACCGACGAGACGCCGCAGAACUGCCAGCGCUUCCUCGACAACCGCGGCAUGGAGUUCUUCCUCGCCUGCCUGAAGAGCUUCCCAGACAAGGAGGAGUUGUUGCGCAACAUGAUGGGCCUACUGGGCAACGUGGCCGAGGUGGCGGACCUGCGCCCGCACCUCAUGAACAAGCUGUUCCUGUCCGUGUUCUACGAGCUACUCGAGUCCUCCAGCGACGGCAUCGAGGUGAGCUACAACGCCGCGGGCGUGCUGGCGCACAUGGCGUCGGACGGGCCCGCGGCGUGGACGGUGGAGGAGCCGGCGCGCGAGGCCGUGCUGGCGCGCGUGGCGGCCGCGGUGGAGCGCUGGCACCUGCACUCCGAGCGCAACAUCAACUACCGCUCCUUUGAGCCCAUCCUCAGCCUGCUGCACGCGCACCACACGCCGCAGUGCCAGCACUGGGCCGUCUGGGCGCUCGCAAACCUCACCACCGUCUAUCCUGACAAGUACUGCGACUUGUUGGAAGCGGAGGGCGGGCUCAAGCUGCUGGUGGACCUGCUGAACCACCCCUCGCCGUACGAGCUCAUCAAGGAGCUCGCCUGCACCGUCAUCGGGAACUGCGAGCGCUACGCCAACCGCGUCACGCCCCCGCUGUCCGACGUGCUGCGCGUCCCGCUCUCCCCGGACAAUUAACUAACGGAGUACUUCGAGGACAUCACUCCUCGCCUAGAAGAUUAGCCCCGUGCCAAGAAUUAAGAUCAUAAAACGAGCCAGCACACAGGCAAAUCCUGAACCACACUAGUUACUCGUAACCGGUAGACCUGAAGUAUAAAGACUAUGUAUUCAUAGAAUAGUUGUAAUGAAUAGCCAUCAGGGGCUCAUUUCUCGAACAAUAUUACGCUAAUAUUAUUUGUGUGUUGUCAUGGAAACCCAUACGAUUUGGCAGUUUGUGGACUAAAGCCUAUAUUUUUAUUGCGUAGACUAAAAUGACAUUUCAUGUGUUGCUAGUUUUUUACGUCUUAUAAAUAGUGAUGUGUUACAACCGGUACUAACCGAAAAAAAACUAUUGGGAGGUAUUUAUAUUUGUUGAUGAAUGGUGUCUGUAACACAAUGAAUGGAUAAUCCGUGACGUGCUAAAAGGGGACACUAGGAGAGGUAUUAAAAUGGGUGAAAUAGUGUAGGUAAAAAUGUGAGGUGAGGGCUUCUUAAGGGGUGAGUUCUGGAAUAAAAAGUAUCCUAUGUCCUUCCCCGGGACUCAAACUACCCCUAUACCAAAUUUCAAUUAAACCGGUUCAGCUGCUUAAGCGUGAAGAGGUAACAGACAGGCAGACACACUUUCGCAUUUAUAAUAUUAUAAGUAUGGAUUUCCUAUCAUGUAGCGAGUAGAUUUCAUUUAUUGUUUAUUUUGAAUCUAAAAUUAAUUUAAUAUUUAUCGGUUAUUCACAAACCGAAAUCAAAGAUCAGCACUGUUUGUUUUAAGCUGGUAUCAUUAUUUCUACGUUUGACAUUUGUGGUUGUCAUUUUAGUCUACGCAAUUAAUAAAUAGACUAAUAAUAUUUAUUUAAUCAUAUUAGCCUAAUACCGUUCUAGUCACGGAAUUUGACGGUCUGUCACUUUUGAACCUUAAUACCAUUACAUAGAAUCGAAAAGUGACAAACCUUCAAAUUCCGUGACUGUUACUUCUAAUGUAACGAAUUGAAAAUACUAUUAUCAGGACACUUCUAUACCCUGUCCUACAUUUUAAAUUUACAUAGAUUAUUAAAAUGGUCGAGUUUGGAAUUAUACACGUUUUUAUUGUAGUCUUUGGGAUUUGGCGGAACACGGGAUACUGACGCGUAUAACUAGUUACAUUCUAUUUUUCGAUAAUUGUAGGUUAAGUUGAAUCAAAAUAUAAUUAUGAAGGAUCUAUACAUGUAUGUAGCGUCGGUGAUUAGUACAUUUAGUACAGCAUGAAGCAGUACAUCAGUGCGGCUGGCACGCAUGCAGCGGCGCGGCUCGCCCGUGAAGGCCGCAUGGGCGCCACUUACAUGCAGUCGCGCAAGUUGCGGAGACAUGACGUGCUUGCUGGUAACUGACGGUGGCGCCCUAUUAUUAUAUUUAAAAAGAGCUAAUUAUGUUAGAAUAGUUUGCUAACUUAAAAUAUUACAUAAAUUCCAAUGUUCUUUUUUUCGAUAAUUUGACUCUUCGUUUCGAUACCUAAAAACAGCUCUUAAAAAACUACUUGAUAUGAUAUUUCAAUUUUUUUUAAGGAAAUUAGAUAUUUUAUUACAUCAAGGGAAAGAACGCUGAAUUAGACGUGUGCGCCGCCGCCGCCGGGCUUUUUGCCACGCCGCCGCCGCCGAUAAAUAAUCGGCGUGAAAUCGGCGUGACCUUGAGUGUUGUUAAUUAGCUAUUCCAAGUUGGUAUUUGAAUUAUAAUAUGGAUUUUUUUGUCAGAUAUACGUCAAUUAUUAAUUAAAUAAAACAGAAGAGCCAGUUGCACAAACUGUUUCACACACCGAUUAAAGUAACUGAGUAAUCCUCAGUAUUCAGCGUCAAGAAAGAUGAGAUAGCGAUAGCUAUAUGAAGUAGGAUUUUUUUCUUGUUAAUUGUGAAUUCACAUUGUCUCACAUACGAAGGCAGAAUCCUCAGUCAUGACAAGACUUACGAGUUACGAGCAACGAAAACACAGUGGGCUCAUGUACCAUGGGACCUCAAGGUGGAAAUUGAAAAGGAAAACUAACUGGCUAAUAUUGCGACCAUCAUCCUUGCUUAUUUGCUUGCGUCUUAAACUGUAUUUAAGUCCAGCAAAAAUCUGAAAAUAUUGAUCAGCGAAUACUCUCUUGAGAGAGAGACAGAGCGGCAACACUUUAGAUUCGCUUGCCCUACGGGAAUGUGCAAGCUGUAAAUGGGUGAAGCAAACAUUUUCUUGUCACUCGUUGCUAUGGUUACAGUCACCUGGGUCACUGGGGCUUUCAAUUAACCAAACAUUUUUGUAGCAGUUACUAGUUAUAAACUUAUAAGCCCUUUCCAUAAUUGGCCAUCUAACAAGAAUGAAUGAUAAUAUAAUAUGACUCAAAAGUUCUUGUAACAAACUGUCCUACUAUUGUCGCCUGCCUGACGGGAAUAACAAUAGCAAAUACAUCGAAAUGGCGGCUCUUCUGAAGAAAUUUGAAGAUAAAGUUCUAGAGUUCAACCGUUCCAAGAAAAAAGUAAUGGUAGUAGACAGGGCAAAUAUUCUCCCAGUUACUGAAGCACUCGGCGAUUUUGUAUAUCUAGGGGUUGAUAACCAGUGCCGGUGGUUGCACCGCCGAGAUACGCCGCAGAACUGGCAUGGCUAAGAGUGCUAUGGCUAACCUCGAAAAGAUCUGGAAGACAGAGGUAUUCGACGUGCAAAUAAAGUGCGCUUGCGUGCGUGCUCUCGUCUUUUCAAUAUUCCAAUAUGGUACUGAAACGUGGUGUCUCAAAAAGUGUAAAGUGGCAAAGGUUGGUGCUUUCGAGAUGUGGUGUUGACGAUGACUGCUGGAUGACCUUGGACAGCUAGAAGAAAAACCCCGAGAGCUCAAUAUCGCCACUCUUCACAACGUGCCAUGGCCGAGCCCUUAGAUUCCUCGGACAUAUCAUGCGGUUUUCAAUGUAUGAUGUGGAGAAACACAUGUAUUUAGGCCGAUGGCAAACGUGCUCGAGUUGGAGCAUGUGUGAGAAGGUCGAACACAAUGAAGAGGUCGGCUUGCGGCAGUCUGCACUGUGCAGUCCAGACGGCUUAUGACCGCGCGAAAUGGAGACAAAUUACAUGUGAUCGCGUUCCUCAGCAAUGAGAAAACGAGAAAGAAGAUACGUCUCAGUAAGCCUGGUGCUUGUACGACAAGAAAACCGUUAAAAGGAAGCCAUAGCAGUCCACUAUGUCUAGCAAAUUUCAAGGGUUUUGGAGUCCUGUUUUGUUAAAGUCCCGUCAUUUUUAAUACGAUAAACCACGGAGAUCAUGAGAAAAUGGAGUUACAGAUCGGAUCGUAGGUCAUUGGGACCAGGUAACCCCUUAAUCCAAGUUACUAGGGAAAUUAAGUUAUUAUACCUAUCCUAUAUUAUUCAUUUACAAAUCGUAUUUUACUCACAGCCUAUUCAAAACUAUACUUAGUUCACUGGAAUCACUGGCCAGCAACCUGGAUUGAUCAAAUUUUCAAGAGAAACAACAAAUUAACGAUUUUUCUUAAGAUAUCUGAAAGUCAAGGUCACGCCGAUUUCACGCCGAAUAUACGCCGCCGCCGCCAAUUUUUUGGCAAACGCCGCCACCGAUCAUUUUUUAAUCGGCGCACACGUCUAGAUCAGCGUUCUUAGAUGUGAGGAUAUAUUAGUAGGAUAAGGAAGGACAGUAAAUGUAUGGAGCAGUAUGCACUUUAGUCUCAGGCGAUGCCGCUUGGCACGAUUGUUGCUUAGGUCAAACAAAGCUGAUUGGGCCUGGUAGCCACGAGAUCGUGCCGUGCCUACCCCCCAAAAAGAGAGGGGGGGGAGGGGUCGACUCCCCAGGUCCAGGUCUUAGCAACUAGGGCAAGUAAUAUAUCACUUCGUGUAAUUUAGGGACGAGGAAUUCAUUUCUGAAAUAAUUAUUAUACCUUUUCAUACAAAUAAAAUGAUUUUUGUUCAAAAAAUGGAAAUGACAUGUAAUUUUUUGUAACAAUUUUGGCUGUUACAAUCAUAGUAUGGCGAAUAACACUAAAUAAAAAAUUGGACAAUGUUGCCCAUUUAUUCUUAAUUCUGGAAUACAUCACUUCAAAUAAUUUUUAGCGCGUGGCGGUGCCGAUUUCCAUACAAAUGGAACUAUGGCCAAAGUCAAAGAUUAAAAAUGUUUACAAAACACUGAAUUUUGCGUUUUUAAAGUAUGACUACAAUGUUUUAAUGCUUGUUUCAUGUAUGUUUGCCCUUUUUUGGUAAAAUUUUGUUGUUUUUGUUUUUUUACUUACAUAAGUUACAUAUAAACUUUCACCCCUCAAUUUCACCCCUUUAAGGGUUAAUUUUAUAAAAUAUGAUUUUAUCAUAAAACGUUUGUGUAUCGUUAUAUGUACAACAUUCCGUCUAACAAACUGCUAAAAUUGUCCCUUGGCUGACGGGACACAAUAACAACAAGAAAUAGUUGAUUCACCUGGCUUAUUUAGUGCAAAUCGCCACCCAGUGAUUGUAACAGCCGAAAUUAUCACAAAAAAUUACAUUACAUUUUAUUUUUUUGUACAAAAAUCACUUUUUUGUAUGGAAAGAUAUAAUAAUUAUUACAAAAAUUAAUUCCUCGUCCCUAAAUUAUACCAAAAAUGAUUUAUUACUUGCCCUAGUUGCUAAGAGCAGGAAGAAAUAUAGCAUAGAUUGGAUCUGGGGAGCCGGCCCUUUCCCCCUCCCUUUUCAGGGGGUAUGUACGGUACGAUCUGGUGGCUACCGGGCCAAAUCAGCUUUGUUUGACCUAAGGUACAAUCGUGCCAAGCAGCAUCGCUUGAGACAAAAGUGCAUACUCAAGGCGCUUACUUACCCUACAAUAUUAUAUACAUAUUGGCAUAUGCAUAUAACAUUUUUAUCGCUGUAGCUUCGUUUUUAGAUGUUUAGUUAGAAUUUAUAAAUUUUGAACAUCAAAUUAUCAAGCAUGGUGUGCAACGCGAUGUAAUUAUUUCAUUUGCUGUGAUUUCUUCACCUGAUAUAUUAUGUAUUAGUUUUAAGCUUUGUAUUUUUAUGUUAGUUGUUAUAGAAUCAUCCUCUCCUAAUUGUUUAGACCGUUCAGUUAUGAUUUUUUUAAUAAUUCUAAUUUUAGUAAAUAGUGAAUCACCUGAAUCUUGAGUGCUUUUUUCUAUUGCGAUUGUUAUUUGGUUUGAUUUUCUGAAUUCAUCCUUUAGGAUGUUCUGUGGUUUCUAAUCGUGUGUUCAAUGUCAGGCAAACUAAAUAAUUGUUCCGCCCAAUUGUUAAAAUAAAAGUUGUUCACGCUAGUUAUGAGCAAUUCUUGUAACUAAUUUGAUAAACAUGUGUGUCCUAAACAUGAGUUUAACUAUUAUCAAACAUUGUUUUAUUAUAUAUUUAUUAUAUUCGUAACAAAAUAGUCUUAAAUAUAUAAAUUAUUUGUUAGAUGCAUUAUCUAGAUUAACUUUAUUCCUUUAAUGUUAAAGCUGUUAUUUAUAUCGAAUACACUGUCUUUAUUAAAGGAAAUGUCGUUUUAGAGAUUGCAUGUUUUAAAUAAAUAAACUAUUUAAAA